UAUAUAUAUAUAUAUAUAUGUAAUCUAAUACUUUGGUUAAAAUGACUAUAUUUCAACAUUCAUAAAACUAUUAAAGCUUGGUAAAUAACAUUGCUGGAUUAAUUUUAGAUCAUUUACAUUUGUAACCUUUUUGUUGCGUUACAGAUUUAUACUUCCAAUUCUCUGGUACAGUACUUGAGUAACACAAAGUAAUCAAAGACUAAGAAUUUCAAGGAGUAGAUGGAUCUGUCUGGAGCUGGGACAGAGGAAACAAACUCUAGGUCCUGUGGAUUGGGAAAUGUUCUCCUAACUGCAUACUUUAUGUUGGCUAUACAAGCCUCCCUCCUAUCCAUCAUCCUUCCACCUCUCUCUGUCCUCUUUCUGCCUCUAUUUCCUUCUCACCUUCUCUAUUCGCUCCUACCACUCAUCCUCCUUCCAUCACUGCUGACCAAGUGUGGACUGAGCUGAGACGACUUCAUCCUAGAAAGGCUGCAGGACCAGACCGGGUGUGUCUGAGGGUUCUAAAGGUCUGUGCUACUGAAUUGGGGGAAGCUCUACAGCAGGUCUUUAACCUGAGUCUGCGACUGGGUGUGGUUCCCACACUAUGGAAAACAUCCUGCAUAGUCCCUGUUCCAAAAAAGGGUCGCCCAAGUGAGCCAAAUGAUUACAGGCCAGUUGCUCUGACGUCCCACGUCAUGAAAACAUUAGAGCGACUGGUCUUGAACAUGAUGCAACCCCAUCCUCUGUACACUGUUUUCUCCAACCAGAGGAGCUCCUUCAGUGACAGGUUCCUCUCACUGGGUUGUUCAACUGAGAGGAUUAAAAACUCAUUUGUUCCACGGGCCAUUAGGCUUUAUAAUGCUGCUAUCUGUGGGAGGGGAAAGGGAGGGAGACGGGGUAACUAGUAUUUUAACAUAUUUAAGCACUUUUACUAGACCUCUUUUUAGUGGUAAUGUAUUUAUUUAUUUAUUAUAUUCUUGUACCUUUUAUGGAUGUCUCCAGCUGUACGAUUUUAAUGUUGUGUGGAUGUGAAUUAAUGUGUGAGCAACAGAUGACCUGAAUUUCCCUAUGGGAUUAAUAAAGUUCAACCUAACCUAA